GCGUCUUUAAUUCUAGGAACGAUUCAUUCAGGUGGUCCUUACAAUCUAUAAGAGAAAGAAUGCAGACUCAGGACAGGGCUCCUCCAGCGAAUCCCCACUGCUGCAGUCUGUGGGACACUUACCACGGGGCUGCGAGUCCUCACGACCUCCCUGGCAGAUGGGGACACUGAGGCCUAGAGAGAUUACAUGGCCGGACCCAGCCGCGCAGCAGCACGAGGUGGCGGCAGCCACACAGUGUCAGGGCUGAGGCCUCGAGGGCGAGCUUCCAGACACAGGGACGAGGACGGGCUUGACGUGGGGCUUCAGGCCUGAGCCAGCGCCCCUGGUGCCCCGCGGGACAGUAAGCUCCCCGUCUGGAGACGGCCCCUUCCCCUGUGAAUGGGGUCUGCUAAGAGAUUCCCCGACGCUGACCCUCAGGUAGUGAAGUCCAUGACAAAGUCUCCUCCCAGCCACAGCGAAAUAAGGAGAAGGAGGACAAGGCCCCUCUGUAGGCACUGAGUGAGACUGAGAAGCAGACAGACAGACUGUCUCUGGGACAGACGGAUGACAGACAUACUCCCUCCCCCACCCUCCUAGGCUCAUCCUGCCUCAUGCUGGAGACCCAAAAUCCCAGACAUUGCCGCCAGCCCCGCAGUCCAGCAAACACAGGCAGAGUCCAGGGAACCUGGUGUGGGCCGGGCCCUGUGUGCAUUUCCCUGUCUCUGGCUCAGGGCCUGGCAUACAGGAGGUGCUCAACAGUUGUUGACUGAAUGAAUGGCUGGGUACUUGGGCUGCCUAGUCGUGUCUCCCGCCCACCUUUGCCCUGAGCAACAGGAGCCACAUCUGUCGUAGAGCUCUGGACAGCAACUGGAGCCAGCGCAGUGGGGGCAUCUGGAGCCCUAUUGUCUGAGCUGCCGUGGCCCGGGCUCUCGAUGCCUGUCAGGGGAAAGCAUCUUUGCUGACACAUUUGGCCCCAUUUCCAAGGGAGAGUCCACAGCCUGCUCUCUGGUUUUAUAAAGCCACGGGGAAAGGAUGAGUGGACUCCAGGAAGCCAGGGCUUCAAGGAACCAUGGCACCUGACCACCAUGGAAACAUCCCCGCACCAGCCUCAGGGUCAGAGUGAGGGCCAGCUUCAGGGACCACCGGAUGCAGGCUGUUGUCACUCAGAGACUCACUCCCCACUGGAUGUGCAGCUGAGACUUGUGGGCUGGCAAAGAUUCCUGGGUGGUUGUGCACAGAGGUGUUAUCCAGAGACAGCCAGGGGGCGUUAAUUGUGUGGCUCUUUGGGAAGACAGUUUGGUUCUAUGAAGCACAAUUGAGGAAGUCCUUUGGAUCCAGCAGUUGCACAUCUAGGAAUGUGCUCUACACACGCACGAGUACACUAACUACAGCAUCAUGUGAAAGACACAACCUAAAUAUCCAUCAGCUGGGAAUUGGUUGGAAAAAGGGGCAAAAUGGAAUUCUAUGAGGCCACUUAAAAGAAUGAGGCAGAACCUCAUAUACUUUCUUGAAAAUAUGCCCAUUAAACAGUGUUAUGUGAAAAUAAAAAAGUUGCAGAAUAUAUAUGGUUUGAUACCAUUGGCAAAAAAAAAACAUCAUCUACUAAAUAAGUUUACGUAUGUAAGGGUUUGUGCGUGUAUUCACACAUGUGUAUAAGUAAAAUCUAUUUUUCAACCACUCCAGGAGGUGGGGACUGUCAUUACUCC